rnacentral:rRNA from 1 species
GACGAACGCUGGCGGCGUGCUUAACACAUGCAAGUCGAACGGAAAGGCCCUGCUUUUGUGGCGUGCUCGAGAGGCGAACGGGUGAGUAAAACGUGAGUAACCUGCCCUUGACUUUGGGAUAACUUUAGGGAACAGGGGCUAAUACAGGGUAGGAGAUCCUGCUGCAUGGUGGGGGUUGGAAAGUUUCGGCGGUUGGGGCUGGACUAGCGGCUUAUCAGCCUGUUUGUCAGGUUGGGGCGUACGAAGGCUUUGAAGGGUAGCCGGCCUGAGAGGUUGACCGGCGACAUUGGGACUGAGGUACGGCCCAGACUGGAACGGGAGGCAGUAGGGGGAAAUAUUGCACAAUAGGCGGGAGUCUGAGGCAGCAGCGCUGCGUGCGGGAUGCCGUCUUACGGGUUGUAAACCACUUUCGCCUUUGACGAAGCGUGAGUGACGGUAAUGGGUAAAGAAGCACCGGCUAACUACGUG